rnacentral:tRNA from 1 species
GGAGGUUUAGCUCAGCUGGGAGAGCAUCUGCCUUACAAGCAGAGGGUCAGCGGUCGAUCCGUUAACCUCCA